CUUUGCCGUGCAGUCCCAAGUGAGAGAGACACAGAGACAGACCCAGCACCUAGAAACCUGAACAAGGACCGAAUGCAGCAGACUGCGCAUCACUGAAAGUUUGCAGAGGACACAGAAGUUGGGGGAGUGGUAAAGAAAGAAGAGGACAAUGGAUCACUGAUUCAGACCAGUCUAUAUCACGUGGGGCAGAACCCAACCAUGCUCCAGGCCAUCCAAUGCCUCAGGCUGGUGCUAGAGGCCCCACCCAUGGGAAGAGAUGUAGAACUUCAGCCCUCAGCCGUACAUGAAACCAGGAGAUUUCCCAGAACCUGCUGUCCUAGACCAAUCCCAGCUCAGAUAAUUACCCUCAGCCUAAUUAAACUUCCCCUGCAGCGUCACCCAGAUACAGCAUUCCCUUCUCCUCCUGUCCCAAUCUGUGGUAUGGGAGGGGUUGUCAUUCUAGCUGCCAUGUUCUGCCCUGGGGGCAGCUGCAUUUCACUGGCAGGUGAAGUAAGCCCCAGAUCUGUGUCAUUUGGGACCCUGGCAGAUGAAAGGUGCUCUAGACAUGCAAGUUACAGAUAUAGCUGGGACUGAGGAGUUGUGCAAUUUUGGGAACUCUUCCAGUGCCAGACCCAGAGGGGCCAUGGAUCAGAUCCCACUGACCAAGGAACCCCUAGCCAAAUAAGGAGGGCUCUGCAGCACCCUGACACAGGUUCCCUACUUGCAGGGCCACUUAAGAACUCCACACAGUGCAAAGACAACAAGAAAAUCCCCCUAUUCGACGAUUUCUACUUCAUUCAGUGUGAAAAAAGUUGAAAGAAAAUCUCUAGCCCCCAGCUUCUACCCUUCAGUUCAGGGGGGCGCACAACCCUCCUCUCCUGGGGCCUGCAUUGCUGGGAUCUCAGCUGCUUCCUUCAUUUAAGCAUUUGUGUAAUUCUUUUGCUCACCUCUAUGGGCUGAGGUCUACAUGUAAACAUCCUUCCCCUGCUCUGCUUACCAGUCAUCCACUGGUUAUUCAGGGCCUCUUUGUUCUCUACAGCUUCCUCUGACAGCCCCCUGGGCUAUGGGAAGGCAGUGAGCACUUUUCUCCUCUCCUGCUGCCCCAGCAUAGGGCCCAAGUGCCUUCCCUUCAACCCAGCUGGGUAGCAGGUAAUCAGUCACAGGUGCACUGAACCCUGCUCCCUCUUAAAGGAGCCUAGGACCUCUAUGCUCUUACAAGCUGCUUUUGUAGCCAGGACAUGGAAUGACCCUUGAAUUCUGCUCCAGAUAAUAAUGGAGGUUUCCAGUUUAAAUAAUAAACAAUUAAUUCUCUGCUGAGGGCUGGAGUCAGGGAGAGGAAGAGGGAUAUGAAUUAUCUGUACCUGGGCUUGGAGCCCCACUGUACCCCCAUCCUCUGAAUUUAAUCAGGCCUGAAUCUCUAGCUGUAACGCAGAGAGCAGCAGUCCUGUCCCCUUGUCUCCUUCAGUGCCUUUCUCCUAUACUUGCAUAGACUGGCUCUCAAGGUCAUAAAUGGACAGGAAAGGGAAGGAGGGAGCUAGAGGUAGGCAAGGAGCAGCUGCAGGGACUGGCACACUGUCUGCACAAAUAGCAACACACCUGCUCUCAAAGCUGCCAAAAUGAGCAAGGGGCCUUUAGCAAAGUGUCUAGUCACCACUUCUCCCUCUGCUGCUAGCCCUGUUCAUGGCUGUGGCUUUCACACUUCCCUGCCUCUUACAGAGCCUGACCUCCCUGCUGGGGCUCUGCGGGGCAUGGGGACAAUGCACUCACAAGAAAUCGCAUGUCAUUGGCCUUGGCUUUGCUGGGUGGCUGCAGGCCCCCGGGGCACAGAGGCACCAGGGAGUCCCUGAGCCCACCAGAGGUAGGCAGCGUGGCAGAAACAACUCAGCUCCUUGGGCUGCAUCCUGUCUCAGUAUCUUGCUGAUGCUGAUUCAGCAACCGAGAGAAAAGCUGCUCCAUGGAUAAUUGGUGGGGAAUGUCAGAGACCAGGGAGAAAAGUGAUGGCCAAGGCAGAGGGCAUGACGGAUAGUCUGGCAUGACAUACGCUCUCCAUCAGGGGCUGCUUUCAGCUCAGGGUUCUGCACUGCCUGCAGAGGCAUCUGACUGCUGUUAGAGGGAAGAUCCUGGCCAGGAUGACUCCCUCGUAUGAUCCAGCCUGGCACUCCCUGCAUGCCAAGCACAUAGCAGGCCUGGUGUGUGUGUGUGCCCUGGGAUUUCACAGAGCCCAUGGUGGCCCAGGCCUGCAUGCAGCAGAGGGGCCUGAGCUUGCCCUGCCUGGCUUGAAGCAGGGUUUCCUGAGCCAGGCUCUGGAUCCGGCUCUGAGGGAGGCUGAUUCCAUUCACGUUGUUCUGAGGUUCAAGAUGUUGGGGCAAAAGACCACCACCCUAUCGAUUUUUGAUCAGACAGCCUAAAGCUCCUUUACUGAUAUAUCAAAGUACAAGUGUGCACACAGGGAGACACAGCGGUUCCCCAUGAAAUGGGUAGGCUGCUCUGCUCUUUACUUACAAUUUUACCAAGCUUAUAAAGACUAAAACCACAAAACAUCACACAGCGAUAUAUCCUUAUUUGGUAAUUAUGUUGCUAACACUGCAAAACAUAAUUGAUAAUUUUUCUUAUAUGGUAUAUAUAUUGCAACUUUAGCGAGUUAUUUUAUACAUUUUAUCCUGUUAUUGUUCUUUGGCAGUCAUGUGGGCCUGACUGUUCUGUUACCCCUACUUGCGGUUACCUUGAGCAAGCAGAUUGUUGCCACACUAUAAUCACCCAAAGCUGAAAUGGCACCCAGGGG